UGGGGAAUAUUGGGCAAUGGGCGCAAGCCUGACCCAGCAACGCCGCGUGAAGGAAGAAGGCUUUCGGGUUGUAAACUUCUUUUGACAGGGAAGAGGAGAAGACGGUACCUGUCGAAUAAGCUCCGGCUAACUACGUGCCAGCAGCCGCGGUAAUACGUAGGGAGCGAGCGUUGUCCGGAUUUACUGGGUGUAAAGGGCGUGCAGCCGGGUUUAUAAGUCAGAUGUGAAAUCCCGCAGCUCAACUGCGGAACUGCAUUUGAAACUGUAGAUCUUGAGUACUGGAGAGGCAGGCGGAAUUCCUAGUGUAGCGGUGAAAUGCGUAGAUAUUAGGAGGAACACCAGUGGCGAAGGCGGCCUGCUGGACAGCAACUGACGGUGAGGCGCGAAAGCGUGGGGAGCAAACAGG
rnacentral:rRNA from 1 species